rnacentral:rRNA from 1 species
GACGAACGCUGGCGGCGCGCUUAACACAUGCAAGUCGAACGGAAAGGCCUGCUUUCCCUUGUGGAUUGCGGGUACUCGAGUGGCGAACGGGUGAGUAACACGUGAGUGAUCUGCCCCCAACUUGGGUAUAAGCCUGGGAAACUGGGUCUAAUUCCCGAUAGGACUGCAGGGUGGUGCCUGUGGUGGAAAACGAUUUUCUAGUGGUUGGGGAUGAGCUCGCGGCCUAUCAGCUUGUUGGUGGGGUAAUGGCCUACCAAGGCGGCGACGGGUAGCCGGCCUGGGAGGGUGGACGGCCACAUUGGGACUGAGAUACGGCCCAGACGCCUACGGGAGGCAGCAGUGGGGAAUAUUGCACAAUGGGCGGAAGCCUGAUGCAGCGACGCCGCGUGGGGGAUGACGGCCUUCGGGUUGUAAACUCCUUUCGACCGCGAGGAAGCCACCUGGUUGGAAGGGUGGUGACGGUAGUGGUAGAAGAAGCACCGGCUAACUACGUG